GGGUCAGCCUCUCUGUCUAAGAGCAGAAUGAUAUCAAGAGGUCACAUUGUUAAUGCCAUAUUCUGGAUCGUCCAUUCUGCUAGAGCAGCAACCUAAUUCUAUUAACAGCCAUUUUACUCUGUAAAGUGUGAAGCUCACACUAAAGGUGAUUCUGUUUUUCAACAGGUAAUGCUCAAGCAGAUACAGCAGCAGAGGAAGCGGCAACUAACCAACAUACUGUCAUUGAUAUUCCUUUUUCCUUUCUCUCACAGAUUUAGCAGAAGCACAGAGCCAUGCUAACAACAUAGAGAAAGCGGAAUGUAAAUGUUUUAACAAUGUAUGUCAAUCUAAGGACGGCCGUCCAUGUGUGUUUAAAUGUUUAUUUGUUGUUUUGUUUGUUUCUGUUUUAUUGAAAAUUGUCUGGUUUCCAAAACUACUCUUUUACGUUUUAUUUCAAAAUGUUUACAUUUUCUGACAGGCAACACUACAGGAGGCCAGGACGUACAACCCCCUGGCCAACCGAUUGAUCGCUUGCAAAUGGAUUUCAUUGAACUAACACCAUGUGAAGGAAAGGAGCAUUGUCAUGUGGCUGUUGACAUAUAUUCCCUACAGGUAAAUGCAGCAAUCCCGCAACCAGCAGAGGGCCAGUUGCAUAAUUGGAAACCAGGAGACUGGGUGCUGAUAUAAGUCCGCCACUUGAGACGGAGGCCCAGGGAGAAAGUGUCGCUUCCCUCACAGACGAGGAACAAAGCAGAAGAAAGACGACAGCUCUCACUGAGGUGUAAAACCAUACCAACAACCAACAGCUGUUGCAGAUAAAGGAAGAAACG